UACGUAGGGUGCAAGCGUUUGUCCGGAAUUAUUGGGCGUAAAGAGCUCGUAGGCGGUCUGUCGCGUCUGCUGUGAAAACUCAGGGCUUAACCCUGAGCUUGCAGUGGGUACGGGCAGACUAGAGUGCGGUAGGGGAGACUGGAAUUCCUGGUGUAGCGGUGAAAUGCGCAGAUAUCAGGAGGAACACCGGUGGCGAAGGCGGGUCUCUGGGCCGUAACUGACGCUGGAGGAGCGGAAAAGCAUG
rnacentral:rRNA from 1 species